AAGGUUUCCAGAGGAAGGCUCGUCCGCUCUGGGUUAGUCGGGUCCUAAGCUGAGGCCGACAGGCGUAGGCGAUGGAUAACAGGUUGAUAUUCCUGUACCACCUAUAAUCGUUUUAAUCGAUGGGGGGACGCAGUAGGAUAGGCGAAGCGUGCGAUUGGAUUGCACGUCUAAGCAGUAAGGCUGAGUAUUAGGCAAAUCCGGUACUCGUUAAGGCUGAGCUGUGAUGGGGAGAAGACAUUGAGUCUUCGAGUCGUUGAUUUCACACUGCCGAGAAAAGCCUCUAGAUAGAAAAUAGGUGCCCGUACCGCAAACCGACACAGGUAGUCAAGAUGAGAAUUCUAAGGUGAGCGAGCGAACUCUCGUUAAGG
rnacentral:rRNA from 1 species